rnacentral:miRNA from 1 species
UGGCACUUUUUAAGAUCGGUUAUAAAAUAGCCGAUCUUAAAAGUACUUUUAAGAUCGGUUAUUUUAUGACCGAUUUUAAAAGUGCUA